rnacentral:rRNA from 1 species
UACAGAGGUGCCGAGCGUUAGGCGGAAUCACUGGGCUUAAAGCGCGUGUAGGCGGGUCGUUAAGUGUCCGCGUGAAAUCCCACGGCUCAACCGUGGAACUGCCGGGCAUACUGGCGACCUUGAGGCACUUAGGGGCGAGCGGAACAAAUGGUGGAGCGGUGAAAUGCGUAGAUAUCAGGAGGAACACCGGUGGCGAAGGCGGGUCUCUGGGCCGAUACUGACGCUGAGGAGCGAAAGCGUGGGGAGCGAACAGG